UACGUAGGGGGCGAGCGUUGUCCGGAGUUAUUGGGCGUAAAGCGCCCGCAGGCGGUGCGCCAAGUGUGGGGUGACAGCGACCGGCUUAACCGGUCGAGUGUCCUACAGACUGGCGCACUUGAGGGCCACAGAGGAACACAGAAUUCCGGGUGGAGUGGUGAAAUGCGUAGAUAUCCGGAGGAAUACCAAAGGCGAAGGCAGUGUUCUGGGUGGUACCUGACGCUCAGGGGCGAAAGCUAGGGGAGCGAACGGG
rnacentral:rRNA from 1 species